rnacentral:rRNA from 1 species
GACGAACGCUGGCGGCGUGCUUAACACAUGCAAGUCGAACGGAAAGGCCCUGCUUUUGUGGUGUGCUCGAGUGGCGAACGGGUGAGUAACACGUGAGUAACCUGCCCUUGACUUUGGGAUAACUUCAGGAAACUGGGGCUAAUACCGGAUAGGAGCUCCGGCUGCAUGGUGGGGGUUGGAAAGUUUCGGCGGUUGGGGAUGGACUCGCGGCUUAUCAGCUUGUUGGUGGGGUAGUGGCUUACCAAGGCUUUGACGGGUAGCCGGCCUGAGAGGGUGACCGGCCACAUUGGGACUGAGAUACGGCCCAGACUCCUACGGGAGGCAGCAGUGGGGAAUAUUGCACGAUGGGCGGAAGCCUGAUGCAGCAACGCCGCGUGCGGGAUGACGGCCUUCGGGUUGUAAACCGCUUUCGCCUGUGACGAAGCGUGAGUGACGGUAAUGGGUAAAGAAGCACCGGCUAACUACGUG